UUCCUCCUACGGGGGGCAGCAGUGGGGGAUAUUGCACAAUGGGGGAAACCCUGAUGCAGCGACGCCGCGUGAGUGAAGAAGUAUUUCGGUAUGUAAAGCUCUAUCAGCAGGGAAGAAAAAAGACGGUACCUGACUAAGAAGCCCCGGCUAACUACGUGCCAGCAGCCGCGGUAAUACGUAGGGGGCAAGCGUUAUCCGGAUUUACUGGGUGUAAAGGGAGCGCAGACGGCAGUGCAAGUCUGGAGUGAAAGCCCGGGGCUCAACCCCGGAACUGCUCUGGAAACUGUGCGGCUAGAGUACUGGAG
rnacentral:rRNA from 1 species